rnacentral:rRNA from 1 species
UACGUAGGGGGCUAGCGUUGUCCGGAUUUAUUGGGCGUAAAGAGCGUGUAGGCGGCCAGAUAGGUCGGUUGUGAAAACUGGAGGCUCAACCUCCAGACGUCGACCGAAACCAUCUGGCUAGAGUCCGGAAGAGGAGAGUGGAAUUCCUGGUGUAGCGGUGAAAUGCGCAGAUAUCAGGAGGAACACCGGUGGCGAAGGCGGUUCUCUGGGCAUUACCUGACGCUGAGGAGCGAAAGUGUGGGGAGCGAACAGG